GAUGAACGCUGGCGGCGUGCCUAAUACAUGCAAGUCGAGCGAAUGGAUUAAGAGCUUGCUCUUAUGAAGUUAGCGGCGGACGGGUGAGUAACACGUGGGUAACCUGCCCAUAAGACUGGGAUAACUCCGGGAAACCGGGGCUAAUACCGGAUAACAUUUUGAACCGCAUGGUUCGAAAUUGAAAGGCGGCUUCGGCUGUCACUUAUGGAUGGACCCGCGUCGCAUUAGCUAGUUGGUGAGGUAACGGCUCACCAAGGCAACGAUGCGUAGCCGACCUGAGAGGGUUAUCGGCCACACUGGGACUGAGGCACGGCCCAGACUCCUACGGGAGGCAGCAGUAGGGAAUCUUCCGCAAUGGACGAAAGUCUGACGGAGCAACGCCGCGUGAGUGAUGAAGGCUUUCGGGUCGUAAAACUCUGUUGUUAGGGAAGAACAAGUGCUAGUUGAAUAAGCUGGCACCUUGACGGUACCUAACCAGAAAGCCACGGCUAACUACGUGCCAGCCGCCGCCGUAA
rnacentral:rRNA from 1 species